rnacentral:SRP_RNA from 1 species
GCCGGACGUGGUGGCGCGCGCCUGUAGUCCCAGCUACCCGGGAGGCUGAGGCAGGAGGAUCGCUUGAGUCCAGGAGUUCUGGGCUGUAGUGCGCUAUGCCGAUCGGGUGUCCGCACUAAGUUCAGCAUCAAUAUGGUGACCUCCCGGGAGCGGGGGACCACCAGGUUGCCUAAGGAGGGGUGAACCGGCCCAGGUCGGAUACGGAGCAGGUCAAAACUCCCGUGCUGAUCAAAAAGUCUAUGUAAUAUUCACAUUACUAUCAAUUACAUUACUUGAUACAGAUAAUUAAAUCA